rnacentral:rRNA from 1 species
UACGGAGGGUGCAAGCGUUGUUCGGAAUUACUGGGCGUAAAGCGUGCGCAGGCGGCUUUGCAAGACAGAUGUGAAAUCCCCGGGCUUAACCUGGGAACUGCGCUUGUUACUGGCAGACUCGAGUGUGGCAGAGGGGGGUGGAAUUCCACGUGUAGCAGUGAAAUGCGUAGAUAUCAGAAAGAACACCAGUGGCGAAGGCGGCUCUCUGGCCUGCAACUGACGCUGAGGCGCGAAAGCGUGGGGAGCAAACAGG